rnacentral:lncRNA from 1 species
GGUCAUCUCGGCAUUUUGCCUUUCUUAGUUGAUACUAAGUUGGUGUCGAGACAAAGUCGGUCUUCUGACUUUUUAUAGUGAAAGCCAAAGUAUAUUUGAUGUCGAGAUAGUCAAUCAUCUAACUUUUACAGUGAAAACCUACAUACUUGAUGUCGCUUUAAAAUCACAGUCGGGAUGUCGGUUUUUGCAAGAGGACCGAAAUAUAGUCGACACUAAAGCAGUUGAUUCUCCAAGUAGUUGCAU